rnacentral:rRNA from 1 species
AGUGAACGCUGGCGGUAGGCCUAACACAUGCAAGUCGAACGGCAGCACAGGAGAGCUUGCUCUCUGGGUGGCGAGUGGCGGACGGGUGAGGAAUACAUCGGAAUCUACUCUGUCGUGGGGGAUAACGUAGGGAAACUUACGCCAAUACCGCAUACGACCUACGGGUGAAAGCAGGGGAUCUUCGGACCUUGCGCGAUUGAAUGAGCCGAUGUCGGAUUAGCUAGUUGGCGGGGUAAAGGCCCACCAAGGCGACGAUCCGUAGCUGGUCUGAGGGGAGGAUCAGCCAAACUGGAACUGAGACACGGUCCAGACUCCUACGGGAGGCAGCAGUGGGGAAUAUUGGACAAUGGGCGCAAGCCUGGUCCAGCCAUACCGCGUGGGUGAAGAAGGCCUUCGGGUUGUAAAGCCCUUUUGUUGGGAAAGAAAUCCAGCUGGCUAAUACCCGGUUGGGAUGACGGUACCCAAAGAAUAAGCACCGGCUAACUUCGUGCCAGCAGCCGCCGUAA